rnacentral:lncRNA from 1 species
CGCCGUCGGAACUUCGAACAGCCAACGCCUGCUCCCUCACUUUCCCUCUAUCGCGCAGCAGCCAUCGCAACCUUCCUUCCCUUCCAUCGCGCAGCCACUGUGCGAACGUGGAAGCCUCCGUCGCGCAGCCACGCCGCCGCCAGCGCUAGCUCUGCUCCACCGCUGUCACUGUCCUGUUCGAAGCCCGUUCGAAGGUGCUCCUUGUCUCGGUGUCUCUGUCUCCCUCUUGAUUGCUCUGUUGAAGGCUUCUAGCUUCUAGGUAAUUUUUUUAAUUAUAAUUGAAUAAUUUUUCAAUUCUGUGAAUUGUGAAGUGUGAACUGUGAUUUUUUAUUUUUCUGUGAACUGUGAACUGAAGUUACUGAACUGAACCGUGAACUUUGUUGAAUAAUUAUGAUUAAUUAUUGUUAGAUAAGCUAUGAACUACUGAACUUUGUUGUUUGUUGAAUAAUUGUGAAUGUGAAGUGUGAACUGUGAUCUGCAAUUUUUUUAUUUUUCUGUGAACGGUGAACUGAAGUUACUGAACUGAACUGUGAACUUUGUCGAAUAAUUGUGAUUAAUUAUUCUUAGUUAAGCUGUGAACUACUACUGAACUUUGUUGUUUGUUGAAUAAUUGUGAACUGUGAACUGAAGUUAAUGAACUGGACUGUGAACUUUGUUGAAUAAUUGUGAUUAAUUAUUGUUAGUUAAGCUGUGAACGACUGAACUUUGUUGUUUGUUGAAUAGUUGUGAACUGUGAACUGUGAACUGAAGUUAAUGAACUGAACUGUGAACUUUGUUGAAUAAUUGUGAUUAAUUAUUGUUAGUAAAGCUGUGAACUACUGAACUUUGUUGUUUGUUGAAUAGUUGUGAAAGUGUGAACUGUGAUCUGUAAUUUAUGAUUUUUUUUGUGAACUGUGAACUGAAGUUACUGAACUGAAUUGUGAACUUUGUUGAAUAAUUGUGAUUAAUUAUUGUUAGUUAAAUUGUGAACUACUGAACUUUGUUGUUUGUUGAAUAAUUGUGAAUAAUUAUUGUUAGCGCUGUGAACUACUGAACUUUGUUGUUGCUACUUCACUGGGUUGAAUAAUUUUUGCUGUUAAGAUUAUUCAAUUAUUGGGUUGGAGUGGUUUGCCGUGGGUUCUUGUGAACCUAUGAUAUUGUAAUUGGAUUUAUUGUUAUUGGAUUGCUGAUAAUUUUUAGGUCUAUAACCGCCAACAAUGGCUGACCAACGUCCCAAGAGACCGCGUACCGAUGGUCAAGCUCAGGUUGAAGUUCCUAACGAAGACGAUUACUACCGGCGACGCUACCCUCCUCAAGUCGAAUUGUACGAAGAAAAAACAAGGUUAAUGCAACUUUCAUCUUUGAAUUUGUCCAAUUUCGGGAUCUCAAAAGGCGGCGUGGAAACACAUAAGAACUCUUUGCUUAUUUCUUUUUUUGAGGAUCGGCGAAUCAAAUAAUAUUUUUGUUCCAAUUUCACCUUGAAUUGGUCAAAAUACGCGGAUUUUCUUACUUUUCGUAAAUGAUUAGAUCUAGUAACUGGCGGUUUAUGGCCGACUGAUAUUGCGCACCAUCUAUAAAUAUUGUUUAAACCUUUUUGGUGUAAAAACCGAAAACUAAACAGUUUGUGACCCUGAAAUAUGCUUCCGAGAUUAUGCAAUUGUAUGUUUCUUUAUUUUUUCUUUCUCAUGAAAGGACAAAGUAAGGAACCGUACAUAUCACGAGGCCAUCUUCUAUCAUACCAGUAAAAUUCGUGACAAGGUAAUUAAUUACAAACUUUUUUUUUCAUUCUUAUUGUUCUUUUGAUCUUUUGUUACUAAUUACAUGCAUUUUCAGGCGGUUCUGGUUCUUGGAUGCAGA